AGCUUGCUUCUCUGGAUGAGUUGCGAACGGGUGAGUAACGCGUAGGUAACCUGCCUGGUAGCGGGGGAUAACUAUUGGAAACGAUAGCUAAUACCGCAUAAUAGUAGAUGUUGCAUGACAUUUGCUUAAAAGGUGCAAUUGCAUCACUACCAGAUGGACCUGCGUUGUAUUAGCUAGUUGGUGAGGUAACAGCUCACCAAGGCGACGAUACAUAGCCGACCUGAGAGGGUGAUCGGCCACACUGGGACUGAGACACGGCCCAGACUCCUACGGGAGGCAGCAGUAGGGAAUCUUCGGCAAUGGACGGAAGUCUGACCGAGCAACGCCGCGUGAGUGAAGAAGGUUUUCGGAUCGUAAAGCUCUGUUGUAAGAGAAGAACGAGUGUGAGAGUGGAAAGUUCACACUGUGACGGUAUCUUACCAGAAAGGGACGGCUAACUACGUGCCAGCAGCCGCGGUAAUACGUAGGUCCCGAGCGUUGUCCGGAUUUAUUGGGCGUAAAGCGAGCGCAGGCGGUUAGAUAAGUCUGAAGUUAAAGGCUGUGGCUUAACCAUAGUACGCUUUGGAAACUGUUUAACUUGAGUGCAAGAGGGGAGAGUGGAAUU
rnacentral:rRNA from 1 species